rnacentral:rRNA from 1 species
UACGGAGGGUGCAAGCGUUAUCCGGAUUCACUGGGUUUAAAGGGUGCGUAGGUGGCUUUGUAAGUCAGUGGUGAAAUGCCGCAGCUCAACUGCGGAACUGCCAUUGAUACUGCUUAGCUUGAAUCACGUCGAGGUGGAUGGAAUAUUACAUGUAGCGGUGAAAUGCUUAGAUAUGUAAUAGAACACCGAUUGCGAAGGCAGUUCACUAGGCGUGUAUUGACACUGAGGCACGAAGGCGUGGGGAUCAAACAGG